ensembl:lncRNA
GAGAGAGAGAGAGAGAGAGAGAGAGAGAGAGAGAGAGAGUGGAAAAGAGGGAGAUGAGAGAUGGAUAAUGAUGAAGAGAGAGAGGGGAGAGCUCAGAGAGGAAUAGGGACACACUCAGUUAUACUGACACAGAGAGAGAGGGGCGGAGAGAGAGAGAGGGGAAGUGUUGCUUCUCCUUCAGCAGAUGAUUAUAAAUCCUGAAAGCAGCCCACACUCGACAUCCUCAACACAGACCCCAGGUCUCCUGCGUCUGGUCCCCAUCCCUCCAUGAAACAUCUAGACCUGCUUGUCUUUAUCCCCGUCUCACAUUAACAAACUAUUCAGACAGUAUGGACGACGGACCCUCAGCGUCCACCAGGAGCUGAUCUAGGAUCUGUCCCAGAGCGGACACACGGAGCGGAGAACACGGACCCUUACCGUGGUACGGCCGGUCUGGGCUCGGUUGCAGCGUGGCGUCCUUCAGGCUCAACCAGGGGUCAUGCUCCAGACAACGGCCGGACCGGAGUGGAGCCAACAGGCCGCCGGAGGGACCGGUCAGGGUCCCGACCUGUGAGGGCACCAGGAGCCUCUAAAGACACACUUAGAGCAGAGCAGAACCUGCACUGAUCACCUCAGGGUCCACAGGUAGAUGGUUCCUCUCUCUUCAGGGGCCACAGGUAGAUGUUUCCUCUCUCUUCAGGGGCCACAGGUAGAUGUUUCCUCUCUCUUCAGGGGCCACAGGUAGAUGUUUCCUCUCUCUUCAGGGGCCACAGGUAUAUGGUUCUUCUCUCUUCAGGGGCCACAGGUAGAUGUUUCCUCUCUCCUCAGGGGCCACAGGUAUAUGGUUCUUCUCUCCUCUGGGGGCCUACAGGUGAGUGCACUACUCUGGAACCACACCCCACCUGAGCUUUAUCAGCUCUCGUCAGACUGCCCCAGGGGCCCCUUGAUGGUGUGGGGCCCCUGGGUGUCGGGUGGCCCCUGCCCAGGCAUGUGCCCCGUCCUGCCUCAGAGGAAUUCGGAGGUUGACAAGGGACCCUUGUGGUGCUGAGUUUGUC